rnacentral:misc_RNA from 1 species
CGUCGAAGGUGGGGCUGAUGACUGGGGUGAAGUCGUAACAAGGUAUCCGUACCGGAAGGUGCGGAUGGAUCACCUCCUAACAGGGAGACAAAACAAUGAUUUUGAUGUCUGAGUAUUUUAUUCUUAGGCCGAAAUCCUGUCACCUUAGGUCGAUCGGUACCUCAACAUUUUUCCAAAGAUUGGUGAGCAAUCAUCAAGAGUUUGGAAGGGAUGUUCAGUUCCUAAACUUUGUCUAGGUCACACCCCGCAAGGGAAGAGUCCCCUGGGCCAUUAGCUCAGGUGGUUAGAGCGCACCCCUGAUAAGGGUGAGGUCCCUGGUUCAAGUCCAGGAUGGCCCAUUCGGUGUUGGGGGUUUAGCUCAGUUGGUAGAGCGCCUGCUUUGCAAGCAGGAUGUCAGGAGUUCGAGUCUCCUAACCUCCACUGACAGAACUCAAUCUCCAUUGUCCGGUAACUCGGAGGAUGAACUCAAAGGUGUGUGAUUUAGAUGUGUCCACUAGAUAGGACCCUAGCUUCCUGUCAUUCCGAACAAGUGAUUAUUGCUUGAUUGGCUGAUAUGAUGCUGGGCUCAGAUUAAUCGAAAGAUUAAUUUGAUCUCUAGUAGAACCUUGACAACUGCAUAAGUAAGUCUGGAAAAACGAAGCAUCUUACAGAUGCAUUGUUUUAAGUCUGAAUUCUUGAAAGAGAGUUUAGAUCUAGAAUGAUGAAAAUUCUUUUAAGCAAGAGCCGAGACUCUUAGAUGUUCUUUUUAUCGUGUCGAGCGAUAAAGAGUUUGAUUUUGUUUUUAUGAGCAGCGAAAGUUGCUGAUAAAACCAGAAAAAUCUGCUUUCAACCGCAGUAAGCGUUUAAGAGGUUAAUUGGUCAAGCUACAAAGGGC